UGCUGAGAGAGCGGAGCAGGGCCCGCAGCUGAGGGCCCAUCUCUGGAGGUUCCGGUUCCUGGGAUGUGCCUGGAACUCUGGGUAGCCCUAAUCCUGCAGCUUCAGGCCUGAGAGGCACCAUCAGAAUGAAAUCCCUGAAGGCCACUGCCACCCAGGCCCAAGUUCUCACCUGGACGCCAGCUUUCCCCAGCCCCAGGGACAGGAAGCUUGGCUUGCCCUGCUUGGCCCAGGCCCCAUCAUGGCAGGUACCUCUGGGCAUCCCCCCAACAUUGCCCAGAGCUCUCAACCGAGCUCCCCGGGCCCAGCACCAGCCCUGGCGAAGGCACUGCUGCCCACAUGGUCCCUGAGGUUGAAACCAUGGUGUCGCGCUGUGGCCUCCACUCACCCACCACCCACCACCGCACCAUCCUCACCACGACUGGGCAGCUUCCCUAGAUGCCUCUGGGGACUGUCAGACCACAGCAGAAGCCAGGUGGGGACAGGACAGGAGGCGCUGUCAGCCUCUGGGGUCCCUCUGCUGCUAUGAACAGUGGGUGGGCUCUGCUCCACUCUCUCUCCUGGUGGGCUGCAGGGCUGCAGAACUAGAAACAAAAGGGGCUGUCAGCCUUCGGCGUCAAAGGCGUGCCCUCCUGC